rnacentral:snRNA from 1 species
AUAUAUUUUGUAAAAAAAAAAAAAAAAAAAAAAAAAAUCUGUUCUUAUCAGUUUAAUAUCUGAUACGUCCCCCAUCGGGGGACUACAUAUUAAAUGGAUUUUUCGAACAGGGAGUCGGAAAUGGGGCUUGCUCCGUCCGCUCCACGCAUCGACCCGGUAUUGCAGUACCUCCGGGAACGGUGCAACACUU